ACCUGAGCCUCACCUCCUACAGGAAGCCUUUCUGGGGCUCCCCAGCCUCCAGAGGAGCUUUUCUUUGCUUCAUCCUGCCUGGCCUUGGCAGCCAGGUAAAGGUCCCUUAUGUUUCAGUGGCACUUACGUGGUCAUUAACUGGCUGGUUGAUUCAGAACAACUUCCGGAAGUAGAGGGGAGGAACAGUAUUAGGCCCAGCUCGCAAAAGACAUAAGCAGGGCUUCCCCUGCUCCGGUAACAGGUGCAAGGACACCCAGCCUUGUGAUACCAAACUGGGGUUUCUCCCAGGCCACGCCCCCUGUGCCUAGGAACACAUCCUCUCUCCUAUAGAAACGUGAGCCCUUGAGGACAGACACGAGGCCCUAUUCCCUGUCCACAUCCUCCAACUUCCAGCACAGGGCCAGAUACGCAGGAGGAGCCCAGAAAUGGCCUACACAUUGAUUGACAAGGGAGCCCGAGUUCAAGGGCAUGGCAGGAAAUCCCUGCAUAGGUGUGCAAGUCAGCGGCACGGCUCUUUGAGGCGGGCGGGGUGUGACCACAGGAAGAACCAGAACCUGAUGCGGAGGAUCCGUGAGGGUUGUCACUUUUGGACGAGGGAGCCAUGGGCGAGCUCCUUCAUCUCCCUGAACAUCAGUCUCCACGUGUGAGUCAUAACGGGAGUGAUGACAGCAUCCUGGGCAGCUCCCCACAGCAGAGUCUCUUGACUCAAACAGGGCAACGCUUAGGGAAGCAGGCGAUGGAGCAAGAGGCAGUGGGGACUUGGUUUCGAUUGAUUGCACAGACAGCCUGCAUUGUGACAGCAAUCACGAGAUGUUGGGGGCGUGAGGACUCAGCGGCUGCUUUGGCCCACCGGGAGGUCCGGCCUGGGCUCCGUGCCUUCAGAUAAGCAUGUCUCAGCUGGGCAGAGUCCCCUCCAGAAGGCAGCGGGUGCCCAUCCAGGCCUCUGUCCUCAGAGCUCGGACGCCGAUGGGAUGUGCUCCGUGCCGCAAGUCCAGAACUGAACUCCCGCCCAGCCCCUCCUCUCCAGCCUGCCCACCUCGCCGGAUGCUGUCACCCACACAGUUCCCACAGCAGCAACAGCUUCCUUAAUAAUGCGAUUGAACAGCUGAUGGAUCUUACAAGGGCCCCUGCCUGGGCACUGAGGCUGAAAUCCCUGUAGACCCCAGCUGGGGGCAGGUGGGACUGAGGACCCCAGAGCCCUUUGAGCCAGCUGGCCACACUCCGUCAGGGACUUCCCAGCCCCCACCGCCACCCCAGACUUGUUGACAGCCUCUAUCAUCAGAAGAGGUGAGACCCCAACUCCUUCUUUGACUUGAAUCUUCUCUCUGCCAUCCCCGCAAGUGGUCACUCAUCAUGGGCUUGCAUGCCCCCAGUGACGGGGAGCUCACUGCUUGUCAGGCAAACAUCGCCAUCUUUGGACAGCUCUGACGGCCAGGACCUUCAGAUUGCGCAGCCAUCAUCAGCCUCCCAGGGGCUUCCUGGGCCAUCAGGUCAAGGCUGAUU